ACGCUAGCUACAGGCUUAACACAUGCAAGUCGAGGGGCAGCAUGGUCUUAGCUUGCUAAGGCCGAUGGCGACCGGCGCACGGGUGAGUAACACGUAUCCAACCUGCCGUCUACUCUUGGACAGCCUUCUGAAAGGAAGAUUAAUACAAGAUGGCAUCAUGAGUCCGCAUGUUCACAUGAUUAAAGGUAUUCCGGUAGACGAUGGGGAUGCGUUCCAUUACAUAGUAGGCGGGGUAACGGCCCACCUAGUCUUCGAUGGAUAGGGGUUCUGAGAGGAAGGUCCCCCACAUUGGAACUGAGACACGGUCCAAACUCCUACGGGAGGCAGCAGUGAGGAAUAUUGGUCAAUGGGCGAGAGCCUGAACCAGCCAAGUAGCGUGAAGGGCGACUGCCCUAUGGGUUGUAAACUUCUUUUAUAAAGGAAUAAAGUCGGGUAUGGAUACCCGUUUGCAUGUACUUUAUGAAUAAAGAUCGGCUAACUCCGUGCCAGCAGCCGCGGUAAUACGGAGGAUCCGAGCGUUAUCCGGAUUUAUUGAGUUUAAAGGGAGCGUAGAUGGAUGUUUAAGUCACUUGUGAAAGUUUGCGGCUCAACCGUAAAAUUGCAGUUGAUACUGGAUAUCUUGAGUGCAGUUGAGGCAGGCGGAAUUCGUGGUGUAGCGGUGAAAUGCUUAGAUAUCACGAAGAACUCCGAUUGUGAAGGCAGCCUGCUAAGCUGCAACUGAACAUUGAGGCUCGAAAGUGUGGGUAUCAAACAGGAUUAGAUACCCUGGUAGUCCACACGGUAAACGAUGAAUACUCGCUGUUUGCGAUAUACUGCAAGCGGCCAAGCGAAAGCGUUAAGUAUUCCACCUGGGGAGUACGCCGGCAACGGUGAAACUCAAAGGAAUUGACGGGGGCCCGCACAAGCGGAGGAACAUGUGGUUUAAUUCGAUGAUACGCGAGGAACCUUACCCGGGCUUAAAUUGCAGAUGAAUUACGGUGAAAGCCGUAAGCCGCAAGGCAUCUGUGAAGGUGCUGCAUGGUUGUCGUCAGCUCGUGCCGUGAGGUGUCGGCUUAAGUGCCAUAACGAGCGCAACCCUUGUUGUCAGUUACUAACAGGUUCCGCUGAGGACUCUGACAAGACUGCCAUCGUAAGAUGUGAGGAAGGUGGGGAUGACGUCAAAUCAGCACGGCCCUUACGUCCGGGGCUACACACGUGUUACAAUGGGGGGUACAGAGGGCCGCUACCACGCGAGUGGAUGCCAAUCCCCAAAACCUCUCUCAGUUCGGACUGGAGUCUGCAACCCGACUCCAGGAAGCUGGAUUCGCUAGUAAUCGCGCAUCAGCCACGGCGCGGUGAAUACGUUCCCGGGCCUUGUACACACCGCCCGUCAAGCCAUGGGAGCCGGGGGUACCUGAAGUGCGUAACCGCGAGGAGCGCCCUAGGGUAAAACUGGUGACUGGGGCUA
rnacentral:rRNA from 1 species